UGCGACAUCCGCCUUGCUGUCCUGUGUUCUUCCAUCUGAACCGUCUAUUUAUUUUUUCUUCUGUUCUGAUUCCAUCGCAGUCUUCCCAGCUUGUUGUAAUAAGGAGGUCUCACAGUUUAAGCCGUUGUGUCCCAGUACACUGCAUUUAUUGCAGAAAAUAUCCGACCCUUCGUAUAAGAUGAGUUGUCCGUGGUUCCCUAUGUAAAUGGCUUUCUUAACUGGUAUUCCUAUUGCUACUUUGACAUAGAAUCGCGCAUACCGACCUCUAAGUGUUUCUGAGGUGCAUACAUCCGUUUUACUAGCUUCCCUAUCAUUUUCCCCACUUUGGCCAGAAUAGUGUGGUCGUAGAACUCCGUCGGAAGCUGUGGGAGUAUUAUCCAUAUGGCUGAUACGUUCUCUAUAGCUUCCGAGGCUACAAGUUUGGUUGCCACUUCUUUACCGAUAGAAAAUAUUCAUUGAUGAACCACGGUCCAUUUUGGAGGGUGUGUUGCAUAUUUUCCUCUUUGAAGAAUUUCAGUAUGUAGUAAUCAUGUUCCAAAUCAAUUAGGACAAUUUCUUCAGUGGUUCUCCAAAGAGCUGAUAGUUUCCUUUUGAGCUAUUGAUGGUUGAUUUUUUCCCCUAGUAGUUUAAUGAUGAUGGAGAAAGACCAUGGUGUAUAGAUCCUUGUUUUCUCAUCCUCCGACAACACGAUACUUUCUCCUUUUUCAAUAUCAUUCUGGCUGGGGUUGUUCCGCUGUGGAGCUCCUCCCGACUCCAGUGGAUUUGACUCUGUUUGAUGUAGUAUCAUAUCUACAAUGCAAUUUGAUUUAUUGUGGGACUUCCCAUCUUGUAUUGGGUAUAGGGCCACUAGAAUAUUUUUGAAGGUUGGUUUAAUUACAACCCUUUUGUCUGAGUUGAUGGGAUUUUCAUCAGGUGGUGCCGGUUGGUUCAGUUCUGUGUAGUUUAGAGACAUGCUAAUUGGAUUGUUGGCCUUGGAAGUGUUAUUCUAGUGAGAAGCGAGAGCUUCCCAGGAAUGUGUUAAAGAUGGGGUCUUGUGUUCAAUGCCAUGUACAUGGGGCCAUCGGAGCAUAUGAUGUAUGUUGAUCGGGUGGAGACAACUACAAAGAGGUCGAUACAAAAUAGGCUUAACUACAACACUUUUGAUGAUUUCGCUCGCCGGUAAGAGGAGUGCUUUUAUAUCAGUAUGGAUGAAUUUAAGUGUCAAGUAAAGGAGUGUGUAGGCCAUUUGUAUGAUGCAUUUCAGUACAGAGCUGUGAUUUAGCAUCUCACUGCUAUUGCAUGGAUAAAAAAGUUGUUUUCUGGGGAACGCAAGUUUUAAACAUGAUAUAUAGGCCUGAAAAUUGUGGAAAGAUAACCUUAGCUGUCAAUGCUUUUGCAGAAUUACAGGAAAAAAUUGGGAUGCAGCAACUAGGUUAACAAGCACGUCUGGUUGCUCUUCCCCACGACAUUCUUCCCUUUGUAUUGGCAAAAGAAUACGACGUUCAUCCUAAUAUCCUUAGCACCUCAUAGAUUUCUACUGUUAGUUUGAACCUACAAAGUUUAAAUUCUGGUCCAAGCAAGUGGCGAAGAAAUUGCAGUGAAGAGGCUAUCUGCAUCAAUUUGUUGAUGCUCCUGUAAGGCUUGCUGCUUGUGCUCUCGAAUCUUUGCCUCCUUUGGAGAAGUGUAUUGCUGCAACUUGUGGAUAUCUUGAAUCUGUUUGAGUUGCCUAUAAAUAAAGGCCAAACCAACUGCAAUGGCUAUCAGAAGACUCUUCAUGAGUGUGUGCAAAUUUUUUGGCUAAGGGUGUGCAUCGGACCACCCUUCACUUAAGGAAGCUCUACCCAUG